rnacentral:rRNA from 1 species
AGAGUUUGAUCCUGGCUCAGGACGAACGCUGGCGGCGUGCCUAACACAUGCAAGUCGAACGGAGAAUUUCAAAGAGCUUGCUUAGAGAAAUUUUUAGUGGCGGACGGGUGAGUAACGCGUGGGUAACCUACCCAUAAACCCGGGACAACCCUUGGAAACGAGGGCUAAUACCGGAUAAUCUUUGAGAGUGGCAUCACUCUUUAAGAAAAGGUGGCCUCUGAAAAUGCUACCGAUUAUGGAUGGACCCGCGUCUGAUUAGCUAGUUGGUGGGGUAAAGGCCUACCAAGGCGACGAUCAGUAGCCGGCCUGAGAGGGUGAACGGCCACACUGGGACUGAGACACGGCCCAGACUCCUACGGGAGGCAGCAGUGGGGAAUCUUCCGCAAUGGACGAAAGUCUGACGGAGCAACGCCGCGUGUAUGAUGAAGGUCUUCGGAUUGUAAAGUACUGUCUUUGGGGAAGAAUGACUGAUUUGAAAAUAUUGAGUCAGUAUGACGGUACCCAAGGAGGAAGCCCCGGCUAACUACGUGCCAGCAGCCGCGGUAAUACGUAGGGGGCAAGCGUUGUCCGGAAUUAUUGGGCGUAAAGGGCGCGUAGGCGGAUAGUUAAGUCCGGUGUGAAAGAUCAGGGCUCAACCCUGAGAGUGCAUCGGAAACUGGUUAUCUUGAGGACAGGAGAGGAAAGUGGAAUUCCACGUGUAGCGGUGAAAUGCGUAGAUAUGUGGAGGAACACCAGUGGCGAAGGCGACUUUCUGGACUGUAACUGACGCUGAGGCGCGAAAGCGUGGGGAGCAAACAGGAUUAGAUACCCUGGUAGUCC